GUGAAUCAUCAAAUUUUUGAACGCAAAUUGCACUCUCCUCGGAGAGUAUGCCUGUGUGAGGGUCAGCCUAUAAAAAUCGACAUCGUUGCGUUUUCUCGGUUGCGGUCGUCUGAAAUUGGGUCAUCUUAAAUCCUUUUUAUUUAAUCGGCUUAAAAUUUUCUUUUGUUUUCAUGAACGUUUCUAAGAUCUAUAUUUUUACACGUAUAAGUUAUCGAUUUUUACUAGACGUGAACAUCAUAUCGUAUCGCGUCCAGAAUCUUGCAUUAACUGAC
rnacentral:misc_RNA from 1 species